GACGAACGCUGGCGGCGUGCUUAACACAUGCAAGUCGAACGGAAAGGCCCUGCUUUUGUGGGGUGCUAGAGUGGCGAACGGGUGAGUAACACGUGAGUAACCUGCCCUUGAUUUUGGGAUAACUUAAGGUAACUGGGGAUAAUACCGGCUAGGAGCGCCCGCAGCAUGGCGGGGGUUGGAAAGUUUCGGCGGUUGGGGUUGGACGCGCGGCUUUUCAGCUUGUUGGUGGGGUAGUGGAUUACCAAGGCUUUGACGGGUCGCCGGCCUGAGAGGGUGACCGGCCACAUAGGGACUGAGGUACGACCCAGACUCCUACGUGAGGCAGCGGUGGGGAAUAGUGCGCAAUAGGCGGAGGCCUGAUGCAGCGACUCCGCGUUCGAAAUGACGGCCUUCGGGGUGUAAACCGCUUUCGGCUAAUACGAAGCGUGAGUGACGGUAAUGGGUAAAGAAGCACCGGCUAACUACGUG
rnacentral:rRNA from 1 species